CAUCCUUUGACAUCAGCACAGCUUUGAAAGGGGGAUGGGAGAGCGAGCAGAAAGCAGAAAAACCAGCUUUGAACUAUGCAUGCAAGGCCUCUUCCGAGCCUCAAAUUCUAGCUGACAGACACUGCUGGAUUCCAUGGCUGGCCAGGAGAUGAUCUGAUUUCUAGCACGAGGGCAGCGGGCACCGCACCACCUGAGCAGGAUGCCGGCCUCACACCUGCCCUGGCUUCGCUGCUAUCUGAACGGCAAAUGUACUUAACAAAACGAUUCUAAAGUUCACCUGCAAAAAUAAAAGAACAAGAAGAAUGAGAACACUACUAAUGGGAAAGGCUGGUCCUACCAACUCUAAAGCUGUGGGAUUACUGACAGUGUGACGGGGCAAAGAGGCAGCUGAAUGGAACAGAAGCCACAGCCUCAAACUGGGAACUAUGUUGACACAAAUGUAAUAUUGUAAUAAAGAAUGUGUCUCAGAUCAGUGGAAGGGGAAGAGUUAGGUAAGUGUUGGCAAUCUUGGGGCAGACAACUGAUUAACCACAUGCAGAAAAAGGCAGUUUAAGCCUUUUAACAUCACACCAAAAGAAAGUUUGAGAUGGCUGAAACAGUUAAAUAAAAAUAAAUCAAAACCAUACGCCCCAAAUCCUCUAACUCUUAGAAGAAAAGGAAAGUAAAUAAUCAAUUCUCAAGCAAAACAAAAAAAAGGAACACUUAAAUACCUCUGAACAAACCGCUCAGGAAUAGCGCUCACAUUAAAAACGACCAAUUUCUGUGGUUUGGUUUUUUGGAGGCAGGGUCCUGCCCUGUCACCCAGGCUGGAGUGAAGCGGUAUGAUCUCCGCUCACUGCAGCCUCAGCCUCCUGGGCCCAAGUGACCCUCCUGCCUCAGCCUCCUGCAGAGCUGGUACCACAAGCUUAUGGCACCACACUUGCUCAUUUUUUUUCAUUUUCAGUAGAGAUGAGAUUUCUACAAUGUUGCCUGGAAUAGUCUUUAACUCCUGGGCCCAAAUGGUCCUCCAGCCUCGGCCUCCCAAAGUGCUGAGACUGCAGGCAUGAGCCACCAUGCCCAGCCUUAAAAUCAUAAAUUUCUGUAUGUUCCCUGCAAAAGCAAGCCAAAGGAAAUAUAAAUGCUAUACAUACAAGGAGUUAAUAAUGUUAUUAUAAUUGAGUAAAAAACAAUCAUUGAAAAAUUGUGCCACUAUCUGCAAUAGCAAAGACUUGGAACCAACCCUAAUGUCCAUCAGUGAUAGACUGAAUAAAGUCUAUCAGUCAUGGGGCACAUAUACACCAUGGAAUACUAUGCAGCCAUAAAAAAGGAUGAGUUCAUGUCCUUUGCAGGGACAUGGAUGAAGCUGGAAACCAUCAUGCUCAGCAAACUAACACAGGAACAGUAAACCAAACACUGCGUGUUCUCACUCAUAAGUGGGAGUUGAACAAUGAGAACACAUGGACACAGGGAGGGGAACAUCACACACCGGGGACUGUCAGGGGGUGGAGGCAAGGGGUGGGAGAGCAUUUGGACAAAUAUUGAAUGCAUGCCGGGCUUAAAAACUAGAUGACGGAUUGACGGGUGCAGCAGACCACUGUGGCACAUGUAUACCUAUGUAACAAACCUGCACGUUUGGCACAUGUAUCCCAGGACUUAAA